rnacentral:rRNA from 1 species
UACGUAAGGGGCAAGCGUUGUCCGGAAUCACUGGGCGUAAAGCGCGCGCAGGCGGUCUUUCACGUCCGGGGUGAAAGCCCAGAGCUCAACUCUGGGAUUGCCUUGGAUACGGGGAGACUUGAGGAUCGGAGAGGCAAGGGGAAUUCCACGUGUAGCGGUGAAAUGCGUAGAGAUGUGGAGGAACACCUGUGGCGAAGGCGCCUUGCUGGCCGAUUUCUGACGCUGAGGCGCGAAAGCGUGGGGAGCAAACAGG